rnacentral:rRNA from 1 species
CCAAAAUGACUCUCGGCAACAGAUAUCUCAGCUCUCGCAUCGAUGAAGAACGCAAUGAAAUACGAUACUUGGUGUGAAUUAUAGACUCUCGCGAACCAUCGAGUCUUUCAAUGCAUGUUGCGUCCAAAGCCUUUGGAUGAGGAAGCGUUUGAUCGGGUGUCACGCAAUGUCAC